UUUAAUUGAAGAGUUUGAUCAUGGCUCAGAUUGAACGCUGGCGGCAGGCCUAACACAUGCAAGUCGAGCGGUAACAGAUUGAUAGCUUGCUAUCAAUGCUGACGAGCGGCGGACG
rnacentral:rRNA from 5 species